rnacentral:rRNA from 1 species
CAAUAGCGUAUAUUAAAGUUGUUGCGGUUAAAAAGCUCGUAGUUGGAUUUCUGCCGAGGACGACCGGUCCGCCCUCUGGGUGUGUAUCUGGUUUGGCCUGGGCAUCUUCUUGGAGAACGUAGCUGCACUUGACUGUGUGGUGCGGUGUCCAGGACUUUUACUUUGAGGAAAUUAGAGUGUUUCAAGCAGGCACACGCCUUGAAUACAUUAGCAUGGAAUAAUGGAAGAGGACCUCGGUCCUAUUUUGUUGGUUUCUAGGGCCGAAGUAAUGAUUAAGAGGGACAGUUGGGGGCAUUCGUAUUUAAUUGUCAGAGGUGAAAUUCUCGGAUUUAUGAAAGACGAACAACUGCGAAAGCAUUUGCCAAGGAUGUUUUCAUUAA